GUCCCGAUGGAGCCUCGUGAGCAUGUCUCUCCUGCUUUAUUUUCUCUUGCAGGUGAUGUACCUGAGCUCUUGGACGAAGGACCAGCUACAGAUGCAGUUGAGGAAACGCCGCUACCAAGACGACCCUCAUCAACAGGCUGGAUGUUGUGACAUGGCUUCAAGGAGCGUCGGUUGGAGGAAUUCUCUGUAUGACAGACAAGAUCUUCUAAACCUGCGUAAUGAUGACUUAAUGUCCUGAAUUUAUCCUGCCAAUCCUCCACUUCAGCCCGCAAAUUGUGGUUGCUACGCCGCAAUGAAGCCUGUUGCAGGUAUGGGAAGGAUAAUUUAUUAUCUCUUAUUCGAAAUAGAAAAUAUGGAAUAAUUCCUCAGUCAAGAUAUUGCCACUAUUGAGCUAACGUAAAUCCCAAUGCGACAUAGCGCUGCGACGGAUGAAACAUUUAAGCAGGGUUGCAGAUUGUCGAAGUUGAUACCAAACUAUCUCUUGACAGUUCAUCAUGUAAUAGAAAUCCCAUGACCGCAGAAAAUGGGUUUUAGUAAGAUCACGUAUUUUCAGCUCUUGGACGUGGCCAUAUAGGAGCCGAUUUUCUUAAAUUAAAAGUAGACUUUCUUAUCAUGUAAUUGUACCAAUUCCACCAGAAGCUGAGCCUUCUCCCCUCCAAGAGAGGCUCGAACCUGCGCAUAGUUGAACCUUA